rnacentral:rRNA from 1 species
GACGGAAGAUGCAAGUGUUAUCCGGAAUCACUGGGCGUAAAGCGUCUGUAGGUGGUUCGAAAAGUCCACUGUUAAAAAUUGAGGCUUAACUUCAAAGAUGCCGUGGAAACUUUCAAACUAGAGUAUGGUAGGGGUAGAGGGAAUUUCCAGUGGAGCGGUGAAAUGCGUAGAUAUUGGAAAGACCACCGAUGGCGAAGGCACUCUACUGGGCCAUUACUGACACUGAGAGACGAAAGCUAGGGGAGCAAAUGGG